GCCCACUGAAAUUUUUAAAUGGCCGCAGUAAUUUGACUGUGCAAAGGUAGCAUAAUCAUUAGUUUUUUAAUUAAAAGCUUGUAUGAAAGGUUGGACGAAGUAAAAUCUGUCUCUAUUUAAAUUAUAUUAAAAUUUAAUUUUUAAGUUAAAAAGCUUAAAUUUUUAUAAAAGACGAGAAGACCCUAUAGAACUUUAUAAUUUAUUUAAUAUAAUUAAUUAGGAUUUAUUUAAGUUUUAUUAAUAUAAUUAUUUUAUUGGGGUAAUAGAAAGAUUAAAAAAAUUCUUUUUUAUUAUUAACAUUUAUUUAUGGUAUUAAUGAUCCAUUUUUAGUGAUUAUAAGAUUAAGUUACCUUAGGGAUAACAGCGUAAUUUUUUUAGAGAGUUCAUAUCGAUAAAAAAGUUUGCGACCUCGAUGUUGGAUUAAAGAUUAGUUUAGGUGUAGAUGUUUAAAUUUUUGGUCUGUUCGACCAUUAAAUCUUUACAUGAUCUGAGUUCAGACCGGUGUAAGCCAGGUCGGUUUCUAUCUUUAUUAAAUUUAAAUAUUUUAGUACGAAAGGACCAAAUAUUUGAUAUAUUUAUAUUUUAAUUAUUGAAUAUUAAUAAUUAUUUUGGCAGAUUAGUGCAUUGAAUUUAGAAUUCAAAUAUAUAAUUAUAUUAUAAAUAAUACUUGUUUUAUAUAGAUUUAUUAUUUUCUUUAAUUUUUAUAAUAUUAUUAGUUAUUUGUAUUUUAGUAGGGGUUGCUUUUUUAACUUUAUUAGAGCGAAAGGUAUUGGGUUAUA
rnacentral:rRNA from 1 species